GUUACACUAUUGUCAAUUAUUUCAACUGCAUAACCUUUCAGUUACAGAGUGUUAUAAUUAAUAAUUGAUAAGUGACAAUUAUCAAAUUACUACGAAACGAAAUUCAUGGAAAGUUUUGAUAGAGCAUAUAAAAUAUGAUUAGCCAAUCAAUUUUAAGUACACUUAAUAUAUUUAGGUUAUGUAUUAUAUUCAAGUAAAGUACGAUCAAGUAUGUACGAUUAUAGCGCGAUAGAUCGUGAUUGUAAUCUAUAAGUAUUAAAACACAUUGUGAUUAAUUACACAUUGAUAAACAAUUUUGAAGAUAAUAUAAAUCACGUUUAGCAUACAUGUGAGAGAUAUAGCUGGAUAUUUUCUGUUUUGCAUAAACGCAAACAGAAAGAUUAUAUAAAAAUGAAUUAUCAGUUGUGGGGGAUUACUACUGCCUUUAUCGGUCUUCAUGUUUUGUGGUAUAAAAUACAAUGUAGAAUACCAGAAGAAGAUCGACGUCCACAUCCCUUUGUAACAAUCUAUCAGCGGAUUAUGAAGAAAGAUAGUAGAUAAUCAGAGAUAAUAUACUUGUAUAAUGUGUAAUAAAUGUUGUUAGCAUGUAAUGCCUGCAGUAAUAAACCACUUUAAUUAAGUAA